rnacentral:rRNA from 1 species
GUCUACCCUGAUAUCCGGGAUAACCCACCGAAAGGUGUGCUAAUACGGGAUACGCUGAUUUAUCAGGAAAGGUGGCCUCUUCAUGAAAGCUACUGUAUCGGGAGGAGCUUGCGUACCAUUAGCUAGUUGGUGGGGUAAUGGCCUACCAAGGCGACGAUGGUUAGCGGGUCUGAGAGGAUGAUCCGCCACACUGGAACUGAAACACGGACCAGACUCCUACGGGAGGCAGCAGUGAGGAAUAUUGCGCAAUGGGGGAAACCCUGACGCAGCGACGCCGCGUGGAUGAUGAAGGCUUUCGGGUCGUAAAAUCCUGUCAGAUGGGAAGAAAUGUCAUAUGUCUAAUAUAUGUAUGAUUUGACGGUACCAUCAAAGGAAGCACCGGCUAACUCCGUGCCAGCAGCCGCGGUAAUACGGAGGGUGCAAGCGUUGUUCGGAAUUACUGGGCGUAAAGCGCGCGUAGGCGGCUUUUUAAGUCAGAUGUGAAAGUCCACGGCUCAACCGUGGAAGUGCAUUUGAUACUGGAAGGCUUGAGUACUGGAGGGGAUGGUGGAAUUCCCGGUGUAGAGGUGAAAUUCGUAGAUAUCGGGAGGAAUACCGGUGGC